rfam:Candidatus Halobonum tyrrellensis G22 contig00022, whole genome shotgun sequence.
CUGAAGGCCGCGUUCGGGUCAAUUGCGGACUGCAACACCCGAUCUCCCUCCACCUGCCUCCCGGACGGGAGGCGCAGGAGGGGGAGCGCGUCACCGUCAG